GACGAACGCUGGCGGCGGGCUUAACACAUGCAAGUCGAACGGAAAGGCCCUGCUUUUGUGGGGUGCUCGAGUGGCGAACGGGUGAGUAACACGUGAGUAACCUGCCCUUUACUGUGGGAUAACUUCAGGAAACUGGGGCUAAUACCGGAUAGGAGCUCCUGCUGCAUGGGGGGGGUUGGAAAGUUUCGGCGGUUGGGGAUGGACUCGCGGCUUAUCAGCUUGUUGGUGGGGUAGUGGCUUACCAAGGCUUUGACGGGUAGCCGGCCUGAGAGGGUGACCGGCCACAUUGGGACUGCGAUACGGACCAGACUCCUACGGGAGGCAGCAGUGGGAAAUAUUGCACAAUGGGCGGAAGCCUGAUGCAGCAACGCCGCGUGCGGGAUGACGGCCUUCGGGUUGUAAACCGCUUUCGCCUGUGACGAAGCGUGAGUGACGGUAAUGGGUAAAGAAGCACCGGCUAACUACGUG
rnacentral:rRNA from 1 species